ensembl:lncRNA
AGAAUCAGUUUCAGAAAGUGGUUGAUUCCUCUAGACAUUUUACACAGCAACUUCUGAUGAGGUGAAAAUUUUCAGAUUUCUCAUCAUGUAAAAACUUCUAAUGUGUCAAUCAUGGAUAAAAGAAAUCAACUUUGAUGUCAUUUUUUUUUUUUUUUGGUACAUACAGAUUGUUUCGGGGUGUUUUAUACUGCUCCAGGAAGUUUAUUUUUAAGACCUUUGGGGUGUACUAGAGAUGGCACCCUUUUCCUAAGUAAGGAAUGCAAAUUGCAGAGUGAUCAUACUUUAUAAAAUGUAAUGUAUCAGAACUUUGGGAAGAGAAGAACGAGGAAGGAAUGUUCUUUUUCAGAGAUUUUCAGUCACAUAUCAGGGUGAACUGCAAUGAGGAUCAACUUUUAAAAAUCAGGCUUCUUAAUAUACAAAAUUAUUUAAACAUUUUAAAGAUAAUUCAUUUGCCUUGCUCUCGCCUUCUAACAUUGGCCAUUUCAUGGAGAGGCUAAGAUUUAUACUCCAAAAAAAUGUAGAAAUACAUUUUAAUGGGAGUGAAGUUUUUAAAAUUUGAGAAAGGGUAAAGACUCACUAAUAUGCAUCUUCUUAGCUUUAUCCUUCCUUUGAUACCUGAGUACUUAGGCUCUUAUUUUCUUCCGUCUGUUCCAUGUCAAACAGGUGGCAGGGAAUCUGGUCAUUUCCUUAGAAGGAUGAUUACUCCUCUGCCUUGAAACAUUUAUUGAGUCCAGUGUCUAUUGGAUCGGUGUGUGAUAGGGACUCAUACUUCCAAAUCAGUGAUUCCCAAAGGCCUGCCUUUGGAAACCAUUAUAUCUCCUAUUUUAUUAAGGGGCAACAAGAAUUUCUCAAAACAAAAGUAGUUCACGACCGACUGAAAAUGUUUAAUGUGCCAUAUAGUUCUGUCCCUUGUUUGGGAGAGUUUUUUUUGUUUCCCCCCAUGGAGGAGUAAAGAAAGGGCAAAUGUGGUACCAAAAUCAGACGGCUUUGGGUUGAUAUCCUUCGGAACCUGGAAGUCGUUGUUCUAAUUCUGUUGUCUCUCUAAAUCUGCCUUUGCCCAGAGAUAAUGACCUAUGGCUGUGUAUUUCCAGAGGGCAAUAAUAAAUGAUGAUUUUAUGAUACCUUUAUGCAAAUUAAUGGCCAGAAAUUAGUUUCUUCUCCGAUACCUUUUUGGCUGAAGGAUACCAUUUCUCCUUCCUCCAGAGUUCAACAGAAAGGGGUCCUUUUUUUACUUAACAAUAUCCUCCCUGCAUUCUACACUUCCUGUGUGAACCUAAGAGUGUUUCUACUAGAGUCUGUGGGGGACAUAAGGUUCAGAUUGAGGCCAUCCAGGUGUUCUGGGAAGAAGUGUUGAGGAACUUCUUGGACACAGAGCUUCUUAGUUGUGCCCACAUGCCACUACCCUGAGACUGCACUUUACCUGCAACUGUGCCUCUGGUCCUAGGACCAGCCAUUGGGACAUACUGCUCACUCACUCCUCUGUUACAGCAAAGGACCGGCCGGGAUGGUCCAUGCUGUGUAAUCAAACACCUAGACGACGAGUACAGCUGAUGUUUCUCACUGUUGCCUUAUCAUUCUCUGAGCCAUCUUUAAAGCCGAUCUUGUAAAACACUUAGUAGUUAGAUGCAAGACGCCUUUUAAACUCAGAGCUUGUAUGUGGUGGCCAUUCAUUCUUCUUUCUAGAUUUGCACAAACCCUGUCAACUGUAAUCAUUUUCUGGCGCAUGCCUGUGUUCAGAUGCUUCAUAAACGUGAGCCAACCUGGGUUGAAAAUAUUGGGGAUAGUAUCCAAAUUGGUGUUAUUUUGAAUGACCGCAUAACCUGUCACUAGGGAUCUCAUGAGACAUAGAAGACAACUCUUCAUUGGUUAACACUUUUUUGAAAAGAUGAUUAAUUUUUUUCCCUCAGUUGUGUGUACAGCUAUACACCAUACUAUGUCAUAGGAACUUAAAGUUUACUCCAUGUCAGUCCCCUCUUCACUUUUCUGGACCUCUGUUCCUCCAUCCCCUAAGUCUUAAAACCGUUUUUCAUCUGUGAGGCACUGGACAUGACUAUAUUGGUAACUUUUAGGGGGAGUUGAACUGUUGAUCUUCCAAGAAGAAAGGGACCAGACAGUGUUGCUUAAAAUGCUGCAGUUGUGUUACUGUGAAGAAAAGAUUUGCUUCCACUUUCAACAGGAGAUUAUAUAUAUAUACACACACACACACACACACACACAUAUAUUCAUUUCAGUAAAAGUGGGUGGAAAAAUCUGAGAACAUAGUUACCUUCACAAAUUAUUUAUAGAUACACUGGGUGAGAAGCUUACUGUAGGGCAGUCACCAGAAAAAAAUCUAACUGUAGUGCUUUCAGUAGUGUAUGUAAUAUUUGUAACUAUUCUCACGCCAGCAAUAUCUGCUGUGCACUGUGUCCUAUUACUGUAAAUUACCUGGUUUAUAAUCCUAAUGGGAACUAAUUUGUUUUGUAAUAGAAUCCAGAGCAGAUAUGUAUAAUAUGGUCAGGAUUGUCCUACAGUUGUAAAUAAGAAUAGGUCCUGUUUAUUUUGACAUCUUUUUACAAAUGCAUUGUAUUAGGGUGUGAAUAUUCUGAACCAUGCUCUUGUUUAAAGUUUUGAAAUUUUUAUUGGUAAAUGUAACAUUUUAAUGGUUGUAAUAAUUAUUUGUAUAGAUAUGAAUAUAGUAUUUUAUUUAAGAAAAUAAACUUUGCAUUUUUGCAUUGUG